CACGGGUGAGUAACACGUAUCCAACCUGCCGUCUACUCUUGGACAGCCUUCUGAAAGGAAGAUUAAUACAAGAUGGCAUCAUGAGUCCGCAUGUUCACAUGAUUAAAGGUAUUCCGGUAGACGAUGGGGAUGCGUUCCAUUAGAUAGUAGGCGGGGUAACGGCCCACCUAGUCUUCGAUGGAUAGGGGUUCUGAGAGGAAGGUCCCCCACAUUGGAACUGAGACACGGUCCAGACUCCUACGGGAGGCAGCAUG
rnacentral:rRNA from 1 species